rnacentral:rRNA from 1 species
AUUGAACGCUGGCGGCAGGCCUAACACAUGCAAGUCGGACGGUAGCACAGAGGAGCUUGCUCCUUGGGUGACGAGUGGCGGACGGGUGAGUAAUGUCUGGGGAUCUGCCCGAUAGAGGGGGAUAAACACUGUAAACGGUGGCUAAUACCGCAUAACGUCGCAAGACCACAGAGGGGGACCUUCGGGCCUCUCACUAUCGGAUGAACCCAGAUGGGAUUAGCUAGUAGGCGGGGGAAUGGGCCACCUAGGCGACGAGCCCUAGCUGGUCUGAGAGGAGGACCAGCCACACUGGAACUGAGACACGGUCCAGACUCCUACGGGAGGCAGCAGUGGGGAAUAUUGCACAAUGGGCGCAAGCCUGAUGCAGCCAUGCCGCGUGUAUGAAGAAGGCCUUCGGGUUGUAAAGUACUUUCAGCGGGGAGGAAGGCGGUGAGGUUAAUAACCUCACCGAUUGACGUUACCCGCAGAAGAAGCACCGGCUAACUCCGUGCCAGCCGCCGCGGUAA